UGAAUAGACUGAGCAAAAGGGAGAGAACAUGAGUACGAAGAGUGACAGUAAGAGAAAGAAGAAAAGGUAUAAACCAGCAAAAGCCAACGCCAAGAGCUCUGGACUGGAAGGCUGGGCUCUAAUUCCUUCAGUGUCACUGGUGAGUCCUGUAACUUCUCUAAGCCUCAGUUUUACUUUCCUCAUUUGUAAAACAAAGAAAUUCAGCUUUAUUAUUUCCAGGGCAUUUUGGUAGUGAGCUUCUAAGAGGAUCUUUGGGAUUUCCUCUUCCUGAUAUUGCUUUUUCUUUUUAAGAUUUUUAAAAAAAUGUUUAUUUUUAUUUUGAGAGAGAGAGAGAGAGAGAGAGAGAGAGAGAGAAUGAGAGCACACCAGUGGGGGGAGGGGCACAGAGAGAGGUAGAGAGAGAAUCCCAAGCAGGCUCUGCACUGUCAGCGCAGAGCCCCACACGGGACUUGAUCCCAUGAACCGUGAGAUCAUGACCUGAGCCAAAAUCACGAGUCGGACGCUUAACCAACUAAGCCACCCGGGGGCCCCUCCUGACAUUUCUGCCUUUGUGUAAUUCUUUGCUCUUCAGUUUGGGCUGAAAUCAGUGACUUAUAUCUAAUGGAUUAUGAAAAUGACAGGAUGCCACUUUCCAGAUUAGGUUACAAAGAGACUCUGGCUUCACUCCUGCUAGUCCUCUCUACUUCCCUCCUCUCAGAGCUCUAGCUUGGGGAAUCCAGCUGCCAUGUUGUGCACAGCCCUGUGAAGAUGCCCACAUGGCAAGGAACAGAUGUUUCUAGCCAACCACUGGCAAGGAACCCAAUCAUGACUGUGAAAACAGGAGUCAGCUUGGAAGUGGAUUCUCCCCACGUUGAUCCUUGAGAUGCCUGCCACCCUGGCUGACACCUUGGAUGCAGCCUUGUGAAAGACUUUGAUCAAAGCCCCAAGCUAAGUCAGACUCCUGACCCACAGAAGCUAUGAGGAAAAUAAAUGCUGAGUUUUGGUGUAAUUUGUUACAUGGUAAUAGGGGACUAACCUAGACAUCCUUCUAUUUAAAAAAUUCUGUCAUAUUAGAAGGCUACUUGUUUCUAUAGGGGAGACAAACAAACAAACCAAAAGCCAACUUUGAGUCGUUGUGGCCUGGGCUGUGACUGAGGUAAAAGACAGGAGAGAGGGGAUCUAACUAGGGCACAUGACUGAAUAGUUCAUACUGUGUUCCAGCAGAUGAGACACAAGGAAUUGGCCUUACCUUGACAGGUACCAUUAAAUACCAUUAGGUACCACUGAUGGAAGAUGGGACUUAAUGUCUUAGUUCAUCAACUCAACUUGUUCAAAAAUAAGUAAACAUCUAAACAUACCUUCGCUGGACCCUAAUGAUUUUUCACUCCCUCUUUUUAAAGAUAUUUUUAUUCCCAUACUGAGUAAUAUUACCCAAAUGUUUGCCAAUACAUUGUUAUCAGUAUCAACUCUAAUUAGACUUUCAAAAAGGUUUUGGUGUGAUAAAUGGUGUGUGAAGCAUCAGACUUCCUUCUGCUCAUCAUUCUGAGCAGGCUGUGCACAUGAGGAGGUGCUAAAGGAGGUGAGAGUUAAGAGCUCUCAUUCACUGGAUCACCCCACUCAUUCAUCUUGUUUAUUCCAUUUUACAAUUUGAGUCACUUUAGGAAGCACAUUAUGAGCAAUUUCUGUGUGCUCAGGAUAGGUUUAAUUAGCACAAAACUUCACUGCUUGUCAUUUCCUAGCCCCUUAAUGUCAGUAAAUCUUUUUUUUUCUUUUUUUAAUCUAAGGGUUUGUUCAUCAUUUGCCAAAAUAGGAGCUAACUCUCUGUCACUGCAGCUCAUUUCACUGGAGUGACACUGAACAAAGAGCUGCUAUUAAUUUCGAGGUGUGUUUUCUUCAGCAUUUUGACUCAUAAUUGAUUUUUAAAGUAUAGUAAUUUUAAAGGCACGUUUGGAAGAAGCAGUUCUGAUCAUUAAUAUGCUAAAAAUUCCCUGACUGCUACGAGAGAAUAAAAUAAAGCAAGACAUAGGCCUCUUUUACUCAGUCCAAGAAAAAAAAAGGCAAAGAAUAUUAUUACAUCUAUCUAUUAAAGGCUGUUUUUUUAAACUAAAAAAGGGUUUUAUAACGUUUCAUCAUUGAUUAUUUGUUAGCCCUGGAUAUGAUAUGAAAGUGAGUGAUUUUAUAAUCCCCAACCAGUUAAAACAAUGGGUUCGAAUUGCCUCUGCCAGGCAAGGAAAGCAUAUUUUCUUCUUUGCCCCGACAUUGGCAUAUCCUGGUAGCUGCCGGCAGCCCACAUUAGAGGACUGAAUGGAACAGGCAAGUGAACACUACUAAUAAGUUGUAUGAACUGGUCCUUUGUGGUCAAAUGCGUUUCUUUCACUGUUGCAGUCUGCUUCUACUGGCCUCCACUGUGCUCAGGUACUGUUUUUAUUUUUCCUGGCCCCUGUGUUACAUAGAAAAUGCUGAAUUACAUUCAAUUUAGACCCAGAAGAGAACAAGGGGAUAAGUAUUCUCUUGCUUAGUUCCAAGUGUCUAAACCUAGCUGGCCUCUGGGCGUUAGAGAAUUAGGUUCAGGAAUCAUUUUACAGGCAAAGAAACGGCUCUCUGCGCAAAUAGGUGACAGUGAUAUCACGGAUAACAUGUUGAAUAUAGAGAUGGUUCUUGUUUGUAACCUGCUGAUGAGAAAGAACUCUAGACUGAUAGACUAGGGCAGAUGUUUUCUUGCAACAUGAGAAAUGUGGCUCAAUACCUGCCUUCCCUUCUUCUAAAGAUGAAGACAGUGAAAUUUAGAGAAACUUCCUUUUAUCCUACUGGGUGCUUCCUUCGGCCACAAUCACAAGAAUGCAUCACAACAAUGCUCACAGCCCCCUGGAUAAAGCAAAUAUUCCCUCAAUAAGCUACUCCAGGCUAGUGGAAAGCUGUGACUUCAGGAACCCAUCUUCACCUGUUUCUAGAAAAACUAUCAAAUUGAAGUCAUUAAUUUAAGAGCUUUCUGGUUUAAUUCUCUUACCUCCAGCCAUGCAACGACAGUGGGCCCAUCCCACUGAGCAAAAGGUAAUCCCUUCCUCCGAGCUUCUUCUAGAAGUUCAUGCCUGAAGUACACAGCAAAGAUCAUUAGUCAGGUAACAUGGAAAAAGAUGGUAGUGAUUAAUUUAAAUGCCAAUAUUUUUAAAAAACCAAUAAUCCUUCACAAGCUUUUUCUGAGUUAAUAUAGAAUAACAGAAUUCUUUCUUCCUCUUAGAAAUACAUGGAAAUCAGCCAUUGAUUUUAUGAGUAAAACAAUGACAUCUAAAAAUAAUUUCUCCCAACAUUUAUUCACAAAAUUGAAACAUUAAAUGUUAAUGGACUAAGAAGCUGAAUUAUAUUAUCAGCAAAUAUCUUAGCUCUUUAACAAGAAAAUGGCGCACAUGUGCAUUUUCAAGCAUACAUUAUGGGAUCUAAAUGAGGCUUCUUUCAACCUACUUACUUUCCCUUACUAUUUCAAUGAUAGAGAAAAUGUCUGAAUAUAGAGGCAGUGGAUAAAUUUGGUUAUUUUAUCCCCAUUUAAGAGAUGUGCCUCAUUUUAGUAUGCUCUCCAGGUCAAGGUAGCUACAUUAGGAAUUUUUUUUUUAAUCUAGACUAUGAAAUUGCCUCUCAUUUAAAGAAAACUCAGAGAGAAAUUAACUUCUAUUACUAGAAAGCAAUGUAAGGUGUGAAAUUCAAUAGUACAUUCAUUUUCAUUUAUAAUCACUCCUGUUUUUAAUGAAAGUGAAACAUUUCAAUGAAAACAAAUGGUUGUUUCUGGUAGCAAAAUGUAAAAAGCCUUGACAAAUGCAUUAUUAAUCAUUGUCCCUACAACUGAGCCUUAUAACUGACAUCCAUUUACAAAGCCAAUUUGAGUCAUUUAUUGUUAAAAUAUCAAAUAUGUGUUUUUACUGAAACUCAAAUUGAUAUAUACCUGUCCAGGGCUAUAUUGGAAAAUAUAUUCUGUUCCUUAGUAUACUUUGAUCUUACACACAAAUGAUAAAAAUGUAGUGUAUAUUCACUCUUUUGAAUGUGUGUCUUUCAUGGUUAGGAAUCUAUCAAUAACAUCAUAUAUGAACUCCAAAAUGAAACAUUUGAUUAUUUCCUACUAUCAAUCAAUCAACUGAUUUUUAUAAUUUGUUAAGAUACAGUUGACCUUUGAACAACAUGGCAGCUAGGAGCGCCAACUCCCUGCAUAGUUAAAAACCUGCAUUUAGCUCUUGACUCCCUCCAAACUUUACUAAUGGCCUUGACUGGAAGCCUUACUGGCAACAUAAACAGUCAAUUAACACAUAUUUUGUAUGUUAUACAUGUUUCAUUCUGUAUUUUUACAAUAAAUAUAGAGAAAAACUAUUAAGAAAAUAACAGGGGCGCCUGGGUGGCUCAGUCGGUUAAGAGGCCGACUUCGGCUCAGGUCACGAUCUCGCGAUCCAUGAGUUCGAGCCCCGCGUCGGGCUCUGUGCUGACAGCUCAGAGCCUGGAGCCCGUUUCAGAUUCUGUGUCUCCCUCUCUCUCUGCCCCUCCCCUGUUCAUGCUCUGUCUCUCUCUGUCUCAAAAAUAAAUAAACGUUAAAAAAAAUUAAAAAAAGAAAAUGUGCGGAUAAGUAGGCCCCAGCAGUUCAAGCCUAUGGUGUUCAAUGAUCAACUGUACAUAACCAAAAAUGCUUUUCAGCGAGAACUUUCCAUAUUUGCAGUGGAUGCUACCAACAAAAGUUCAGUGUGACAAAGAAACAAAGAGGCAAAACAAAAACUGAAGUUAUAGCUGCUGAAGAGACACAUAAAUCAACUGCUGUUUUAUCUGAAUAGCAAGGAAAGCAUAGGUGAAUUCUGCAAGUAACUUUUUCAGCACCGAGGACAGGGAAAAGUGAUCUCAGCACCCCUGAAUACGAAGUGAAAAUUAGAGGGGCUUCCUCACCUGCCUUCCCAUUCCCUUGCACUUCCCAAUGACAUUCCUUCAAUGAAAACCUGACUUGAAUAGCCUACUCUCACUGUUACUGGUAUUGACAGAAAUGGGUUGAAGGGUCAAACAACCAACCAUCAGGUACUCAUUGAGCAUCUGUUGUGACCUUAGAUCUGUGCUCAAUGUGGAAGACAUGGGCUCAGUUUUUCACAAGGUCCCUAGUUAGAUAGAAAAAGCAAACACACAAACUGUCCAAAAACACAAUACAAUACACAAAUAGAUGCUAAAACUCAGUGAUGCACAUUCUGGGUGUGAGGAUUUUGAAAAUGGGUUAACAGCAAUGGAAACGAUUGGUGAAGGCAUUUGGUAACUGAGCUGGCUUUGAAGGGCGUGUGGGAAGGCUAGGUUCUAAGCAGGAUAUGCAGUAAGGUUGAGCCUGGACUAUGUGCAAGACAAUUGAGAUUAGGCCUCCACAGAGCUGAGGAUUAUUAUUAAGAGUUGUAAUGUUAUACCCAAUAGGGAAGAAACACUUCCAGUUAUGUAACAGCUGAGUGGCAUUAAAGGAGAAGAAACAAAUAUACAUUUACAGCUGGGGUUUUUUUUUGGCCACAUUUAGUAAAAAGGCAAGUAAAUAUGCACUCAGCACCUAGGAAGUACAUAACAUUUAACAAGUGAAUUAUAUGAGCUGUACAAAAGACAUUUUUAAAAGUUAGAACAUUUUAAUUGUGAGACUUCUCACUAGUUCUCUAAAAAUAUUCUACCACACAAGCGAGAGUGAACUUGUUAAAACUUAAGUCAGAUAAUGUAACUUCUCUGCUCAUAACCUUCAAUCACUCCUUGUCUCACUCAGAAUAAAAGCCAAAGCAGCAGUUAGGAUCGGCCUCUACCCUCUCUGAUUCAGUUGCUACCUCACACAGCAACACUGGCCUCCUCACUGAUCCUGGAAAUAGCUCAGGCUUCUUUCUGCCUCAAGACCUUUGUACUCGCUAUUGUCUCUGUAUAGAAUGCAUAUGCCUCCAUCUCCACAUGGCUCACUCCCUCUCCUACUUUUAAUCUUUACUCAAAUGUCACCUUCUCUGAAUGUCUUCUUCCCUACCUCCUUCAACCCUCACUAGACAUUCUUUAUCCCUGUUCCUUGAUUUAUUUUUCUCCACAGUACUUACCUUCUAACACAGAGUAUCAUUUACACCUCCAUCUAUUACAUCCCACUCAAGUAUAAGCUCAAGGAGGACUGAUGUUAUCACAUAUUCUGUUUAGAGAUAAUUAGAAGAAUCUAGAGCAAAGUCAGGCACUGACAAGGUGCUCAAUAAAUAUCUGUGAAUGUUGAACAUGUUUGCCAGGGUUCACAUUUAGGUACUUCUUUUUUUCAGUAAAUUGAGUCUCUCUCUCUAUAUAUAUAUAUGCCCCCAUAAUUGUAUGGAGGCAAUGCAUAUAUAUAUAUAGUCCAAAUAUCCUUUUAUAUUUUGGCUUACAACGCCAUUCAAAUGUUUAUGUUUCAAAGAGUAAAAAAAAAAUCCUUCAAUUUUGCUUCCUCUUGAGCCAGUUUGUCAGAAUAACACCCAUUCCAGUUGAUGCCAAGAAUCUGAUCUGGCCUGGAAUCCCUGACAGGAGUCUGGUUAAGAGGCAAUCCAAUGUGCUCAGAUAGUUCUAUUCUUCAUCUGAAUAGAAAUUUAACUGCACAGUUGUUUGUGAAAUCUUUGCGUGAUCUUGUUCUUGAAAAAGUUUUCUUUGUUUUUGCUUUGUUUAAUCACAAACUCUUGUAACAUAAUAACUUUAGUAAGAGUAUGCUAAGAUAAUAAGAAAAAUAAUUCUAGUCAAGUGGAUGCUAUUCUUUGGUCCCCAGCUGGCAGGGCUGAAUCCCCAGCCUUUGAACUGACACACUUGAAACUGGGGAGGAACUGCCGGGUUAGGGGUAGAUGGCUGGGUUUUGCAGCAGGACUGCAUGUCACAUGACUUUGACUCCAGAUGUGCUUUCCCUUUAUCUGAGGGCAGUAUCAACUGUGUAAGAAAGGCAUUGAAAUUCUCAGAGCAAUAUUACAUUUAAUUCUUCUCAAUUAAAAAAAAAAACAACUCUCACCAUAUUUAUAAGAGACAUAUUUAUAAGAGACAUAUAUCUGGGUGUAUUCCAUGAGAAAGAAGCAAUGUUAAAAAAAUAAAAUAAUAUGGGCAAUGCUAUAAUAAUUGGAAAUCACUGAGUUUAACACAUGAAGAUUUCCUAACAGAUUAUUAAAGGUAGCAUUAAUUGUAUGGGGGCAUGCUUCUUCCCACCAGAUAUUUUGACAGAGAAACAGUGAUCUGAAUUGUUUAGGAAAUAUAAAAUAAAAAACUGAUUUGCCACAAAUAGGCAUUUUGAAUAUGCUGGUGUUCUCUGUUCAACCACCCUAUGUGUGAAAAGGUAUGUAUUUAUUCUGCACCUGAGAUUCAACCUUUUCAAAGGUCAGAAGACAGUUCUUCCAGAGCAAGGCUAGGAUCAACUUUCCCUAGUAUAAGUGUGAGUCUGGAAAGUGCUGUUUUUCUAUCUAGACCUGAAGAAAUAUUUUUGUUUUUCUUUCUUUUUUUCCUCCAGAUGAUCUAAUAUUUAACCAUCCUUUCCCAAAGGAUCACUUAUAUAUCACUAUAGUUAAGGAUAUGCAUUUUUGUUUUAAGAUUUAGACUAGAUUUUAGAGAAUACCAGUAGCACUUCCUUUUAGAAAUUCUAUCUGACAUAGGGUUGUCAUCACCUGUGUGAAAACCCAAAAAAGAAAAGUACUAAUUGUAAAGGAAUGUCAUUUUGAGUAAGAAAAAUUUUUGAAUUGUUGACUAUUUUCAAGAAACACAUUCUCAUCUCUAAUAAAGAAUGCCAUUAGACUCUCUUGAAAUAGGUGUCAAUGAGUUACUGUGACUGGAAAGUGACACCUUAGGAAGGCCCACCAGGUGCAUGAGUCAUUUGCAUGCUCAGAUAUAACUGUGCACAGGGAAGCCUGUGCAUGCUAUGCCUGGUCUGAGAUAGGAACAAGGUUGGGCACCCUAGUAAUAACUAGAUCCAAGGAUUUCUGAAUAAAAAUCGAGAGUGUCUAAAAAAUGUACAUGAAUCAAAGGCAGUUGCCAGGCUUGUAGUUUCUUACUCCUAAUGCACACUAAUUUAAGCAAGUUUGACUUUGCUUAAAUGACUCAAACCAAAUGGAAAUGUCUGGCUUCUACUUUUUUUUUGGUUUUAUGUCUCUGCUCAACUAUUGCAGUUUUAACCUAAUUGGUACAGUAUGCUUGCAUUUGUAAGCUACGUUUCUAUCACACUAAACAAUGUCCUCAUGUCUCCAUGCCUUGUCUCCCCAGUCACUUUGUCUUGAUUUUUAAGACAUACUAAAAUACUUCCCUGAAGCCAUCUUUUCUCGCCCCUGAGGCAAUAUCCACUACAUCUUUUUAUAAGCCCCCUAGUAUACCAAGCAUUCUUACCUAGAGUACCUUUAACAUUUUAUUGACUCAGAGAUUCAGUUGGUCUUAUUCUUUGCUGAACACAAAACCUGGUACGCGGUAGAUCAUAAAAAUGAGAUGACUGACUACCUAACAAAUUUGGUUCAUCCUGGAGUAGGAAAAGUCCCUGUAUUCAUGCCCUCACAGUAGGGGAACCAACUUAUAAAUCAAAAAAAUUCAAUCAAGUGUUAAACUCUGAAAAAUAAAAUUCAUUAAUUACUCAAAAAAGUCACAGACCAUAGGGCCAGUAAAGUCUCUUUUCUCAUAUUCUUCCCAACAUGAAUGGUUCAUCACUGUCAGUGAAAAUAGACUUUAUUCUCAGACCACUUAGCCUCCAGUGCUAUUUUGGGAUUGCCAAUUUGUGAUAUGACUGUCUGAAUACUGUACAGUACCCUUUCCUCUGUCACUCGGGAUGGCCAUUUCAGUCACUUUCCAUUUAAUGCCUGCCAAUUUCCCCCUUCAUAUUUUCUAUUUCAUCUUCCUUUACUUUCUAUUUUUGUCACCACCAUACUCCUUUUUUUUCACCCCUUUAAUUGGCCCCUAUCUCUAGUCCUCCAACCCUCUUAAUACACUGGCAUAAGAAGAAAAUCUGCCAUGAUAGCAAAAGAGGUAAGAAAGCAGCCUCUAAAGUCUGAUGGUUUGGGCCUGAUUCUUGGUGCCUCCUCUUCUUAGCUGUGCAUCCACAGACAAGUCACUUUACCUCUUUGUACCUCAGUUUCCUCAUCUGUAAAAUAAAGCUGACAAUACUAGUCCCUACCUCAGGAGGUUGCAAUGCAAGUUAAAUGAGAGAAAACAUAUGGUAAUGUGAUUACAACAGUGCCUCACACAAAGGAAGCAGCUAAUAAAUGUGAGGUGUUACUUUUGUCAUAGUGUUGUCCUCUGAAAACCUGCCAACAGCUUCUUAAAUGCCUAAAGUAUAACCCUCAACCUGCAUUACGAAUACUAAAAUAGGUUUAGUCUUGACUUACCUUUCUAACCAUCUUCAUUCACUUCUAAACAGAACUGAAAAACUACUUUUGCAUAUAAUUUGCGCAUUCUAAUUUCUCAUUGCAAGCACCAUUUUCCAGGGCUGGUAAGUUCUUUCCCUUCUUCAACUAUCAAAAUCUUUCUGUUUGCCUAAAUUACGACCCUAGCUUUCAUUUUGUGAUAAUCCCAUUCCAUAAAGACUCUUUAUCCUUCAAAGUCUGGAAACUUCUAGUGUGUCAGUAUCACUCAUACAGAUUGUUGAUUAGCACCACAUGUGUGUGCCUCAUAUCCUACCCCCAACUCUAAAGUCCUAGAGAUGAGAGCUUGUCCUUCCACUGCAUCAUGCUUUUCAUCAUCUGCUCUAGCCAAGAAAAUCUUUCGAAUGACUGUUAUACUGUAAUCCACAAAACUCUCAAUGUUGACAACCACCUGGGAUCUUUGAUCAUAGGAUGAAUUGUAAGUAUUUUGUUUUUGUUAACAUCAAACUAUGCAUUGCAUCUUAAAAAGGAAUAAGCAUUUUGUUUAGCAGUUACCUAUACUGGCUGCUCAGAAAGAGAAAAACAUGCACUCUCUAACAUUAAAUAAGAUAUUUUGCAAAUUGACUACUACCAAAGCUUCUGUUCAAAUCCUCAUCAUUUGCGGAUCAUGGCAAAGGACUCCCAGAGUCUGUCUCUGGUACCCCUCCGCCCAUGCUUUUUCCAACUCCCAGUGAGAACUUCCUAAACGCAAAUUUUUUGUUAAGACUUGCCUACUUAAAAACCUCCCCGUUGUCCUAAAAAUAACGGUCAGAUAUCUUAGCAUGAUGAAAAAGACCCUUAGUAAUCUAGCCUCAGCUCUCUCCAGACUCUUCUGCUCAAUCAGUACUGAAACACUUGCCAUUCCCCCAUACCACAUUUUACUUGACCCUCUGUGACUUUUAUCUCCCUUUUUCUUCUGAUUGAAACAUCCUUCUUUGCAUCAUAAUCAUGGCAAAUUCAUACUUGUCCUUCAGGCAUAGCUCAUGCUUUAUCCUUCCUGUUAAGAUUCCAAGACCUCUCCCAGGCAGAAUUAAUUUUCUCUUCUACACAAAUAUUAUGACUUGUGCAUACUCCACUGAUUGCACUUAUUAUACCUCUCAUUUAAAAUUUAAAAAUAUAUUUAAAUGUAAUUUUUUAGAUUUUACUACAAUUCAAUAUAGUACGUACUGUAAUAGAGAUUUUUCUAAUGUGACUUCUUGUUUCAUUUAAACCACUUUCUAUUCUUCUGAGAUAUGAUAUCAUGGUUUGAAAGAGCAAAGGUUCUGGAUGUAGACAAAUUAGGGUUUAGAUCCCCGAUAACAACAGCUAACACGCAUUGCCACAAAUUCUGUGUGAAACACUAUCCUAAGAGCUUUGUAUGGAUAAUUUCUUUAAGCUUCACAACAAUAAGAUACAUAUUGAUACUCAUUUGCAGAUGAGGACACUGAAGAACACAAACCACUUGGAGCACAGAGUGAGCAGUGGUAGAGCCAGAAUUUGAGCCCCAAGACCUUGGCCACAGAGUUAACUUUCUUAACCCCCAUUCUAUCCUUUAGCUAAUUAAUCUCUUGAACUUUUUGUAACUGAAAAAGGAGGAUAAAUUGAUUGCAAUAAUUUGAUUAUAUUAAAAGCAACUUCCUUGUUAGUAUUAAAUAAAAUGGUAUUCUCCCCCUUUUCUUUCUUUUCUUGUGGUUCAUUUAUAUUCAGAAGUGGCACAUAUUUAUUUGACCUCCUGGGUAAUAUGUAUAAUCUUUACCCGCUUACUAUCACACCCUUUAAUUCUUAACAUUAUCAGAUAAAUAAGGAGCUUUGCCUUUUCUUUUCUUCUUCCUCCCUAAUAUCAGGUUCUGCAUCUCUGCCAGAGGAACCAAGAUUGGUCUUGAUUAUCUCAUUGGGAUGGACAAACUGGAUUGCUUGCACUUUGUGUCAGUUCAAUUGAUUUUGUAUAAUUGCAAUAUAAAGGAAUUCUCUGAUUGAAAAAUAUACCUUAAGGGCCUAUUAAUUUACUGUGGCACAUGACAAGUAAUUAGUUAUUGAUAUAACCAGAAAAAAUAAAUAUGUGGCUUGAUAAGAACCAAGAAUAAAACAUAAGUCAAAAUAAUUUGACAGUUGAAUCUACUUCUUAACAGUAUAGUCCAGAGAAUAAAUCUCUCUCACAUAACGUAGCCAGUAAAUUUACUUAUACUUCAUUUCACACUGUUAUUAAUUGUUCCAUUAAAAUUCAGUAGUCAGGAGGGUAAGUAGGAUAUGAUCUCAAAUUCCCAACAGAUGAUGAGCUAUACAUCUAUCAUUCAGAAAUAUAGACUUGUUGAUCAAUGCUAUGAAAAUCAACAUUACAUAUUUGAGAAACUAUUUGAAAUUCUGGUCAGCAAGUAUGAACAAAAUGUGGUGCCACCCACAUUUUUUCUAACAUGUGCAAGCUGAAAAUGUAUAUCUUAAUUAACACAAUUUUUCUAAACAGAAAUGUCACAAAUCCCAAUCAGCUGCUUCAGAACAUUGAUUGCCUAAAUAUACAUGUUUAGCUCCAUAAAAUUAAGAGUUUUGAAUUCAACAUUAACAAGGUUGACUUGAUUUUAAAAAGCAUAGCAUACUGUGAUUUUGUGUGUGUGUGCAAGUGUAUGUGUGUUUGUAUAUCCUAUAAUGGCACAUUUUCACAUGAAGUGCAUAUAAAAUCCAUUACACUUCUAAGUACUAUUUUAUUUGGAUUCCAAGAACACAUGCUAGGUUGUUUGGAAAUGAAAUAGUUUGACGACAUUAAAACCAAAGUUUAUUCAUACUGAAACCUUUUUUCUUCAAGCUGCUCUGAAAUGGAGGGCACAGUCUCAGAAACAAAAUGUAAUUUAUUUGUGAAUUUGAGUUGGGAUUUACAUAAUUUCUUUCCUCACUUUAUUUUGAAUUUAAUCAGUUUCAAAGCCAUUAAAAAGGUAUAAACACACACACACACAUGCACACACAGAAAUGUGAUGAAGCAAUACAAUUACUCAUGCUGUUACUGAAAACUAAAGGGAUUUGUAUUACUUUCCAUUAAACAAUUUCAUUUUUGAAAGAUUCUGUGGUCUGUUCUCCCUAGUCAUCUCCUGAUAGUAAAUUGGGGACUUAUUGGAGGAACAGUGGUAAUUUUCAGGUUAUUUGGAUACCAUUUAAACUAGAUUACCUUAGUGCCUCAUCUAAUUUUCGCCCUCUUUAACUCAGAUUUUGAAGUUUAUAGUUUUCAUGCUUUUUGAGGUUAUAGAUAUUUUCUCAUCCUCUUGUGAGGUUCAGGAAGUUGAUAGUAGUGUCAGUAAGUACAGAGAACAUGUCAGUCACUCAAGGGUACGCAAAACAAAUGGGAAAGCUGGGGCUUACAUUCUUACCUUCUCAUCCCUAAUUCAGGGAAUGAUCUUUCCACCUCCAAUCUCCUAUCUUCACUAAGUUUGUACUAUCUUCUCCUGACACUUUAACCUCCUAAGCUUUCUUUUAGCAAUUCUACCGGGGAAAUGAUUUUAAAGUCCUAAAAUGUUAAAUUCCAGGAGCGUGUACAAGACGGCAAGAAUCUCAAUUUUAGAAUGAAGACAAUUCCAUCAGUUUCUUAAAGUACAUAAAUGACAAUGCAACAUGCAUUUAUUAUUUUUCAAUAUUUAAUUCAAAAAGUGAAGGGAAAAUGAAUGGGAUUAUUCAUUCAUGGGAUUGAAUAUUUUCAAUAUUCAAUGGGAUUAUUUUCCUUAUGAAACUUAAAAUGGGAUUAUUUUCCUUAUGAAACUUAAAANUAUAUAUAUAUAUUUGGUUUUCAAUUUAAAAGCAAUACCUUUCCCAAACAGAAGUGUUUUUAAAAGCUCACCAUGUUACCAAUGUAAAAGUUGAAACCAAUGUAAGUAUUUUAUAAACGUUAUGCAUAAUUUGUUUUACUUUGAAGCCCCAUUUGUCUUAGGAAUAGAUAAUUAACAUGUUUUCAUUUUAGUUCAAAGAGAAGGAUUUAAAAUUUUGUACUGUAAUCUGAGAUGUUUAGAUUUUUAAAUCUUUGAAAAUUAACCUGUAGUACAGGAAAUAAUGGGAAGCACACACAAAACCAAAGGAAUAAACCAAAACCAAGGAUUACUUUGGAAUCUAAGUGUAAAAGUCCUACUGGGGAAGAUCCAACAUUUAUCCUCUUCAUUUAAGUGCAGUUCGAAUAAUUAACAAAGAAGUUUGUCUCUGGAAGAGAAUGUGGGUGGAGAGCCACUAAGCACUAAGGAGCACUCAGGCCAACCCAGCCAUGCAGCACAGUCCAAAAUAACAAUGUGGCCUCCAACUAUUACUUAAGCCUCACCGAGUGCCACACUAACUCCUAAAGCAUGACUUGAGAAGGAAGGAAAUGACGUCUGGAAUAUCUUUUGACGUGUGUCUAAUAGAACUGAAUAAACAGAAGUGCCUGCAAGGCCAACAUAAUUAAUUUGAGUGUGAACAUUUCUCUGAACCAAUGAUUCCUUUUACGGUGUGGAAAUGAAUACACUUUGCAGUUUUCAUUUUAGGUCAGAGGCAGUGCAGCUUGUGUUAAAACUGAAAAGAGAAAUACUAAAGAUAAAAGACAAAAAGGAUGGUGCUGAAAAUAAACAUGUUCAGCAGCCAUUGUCAUUCAACUUACCCAGAUGUGCUUUUCAUGAGAUGGAGAAGGAUGGAUGGAAAAGAAAAGCACACAAAUGUUAAUGGAUACAUUUUAGUCCAAAGAAAGCCAUGGAAUAAAACAAGAGCAUCAUUUCAGAUGUGCAAAAGCUCAGAUAUGAGAAAGACAUGGUGUCUUUUUUUAUUUCACCGUGGCACACAUACUCACUGCGUCCAAAAGCAUGAUCAGGUUGAGGGCAGGUCUAAUUGUUGACUAGUAAGUCUGUCUCUUGAAAAUGAGCCACU
rnacentral:lncRNA from 1 species